GUAUGCUACCACCAUUUUCCUUUCUGACCAACAUCAGCAGCUUGUACCAUUUGCCUUCAGAGAGUCUGAUUAUAACAUAGGCAGAAGCAAAGGUUGAGCCACAAAUCCAAGCACUGUGUUUUAGUGACUAGCCAAGGAGAACUUUAGAGAAGCAGGAUUUUUGGAAAAAAUGGUUCAAUGAGUAGUUGUGAGAUCAAGUCACUCCCAAAUCACCUUCAAACAACAACUGAUCCAAAUAAAGUAAAAUAAUAACAAAGAGCAAAAAGGAAAGUAAUCUUCACAAGGAAAAUUCCACAGAGAAAAACACAAAAAGCAAAGAAACUGAAAAAUGAGCAAGUACAAAAAAAGGUCUUCUACAAUGCAGAAAUAUGGAGUAAAAGGACUUGAGGAGACAUCUAAGGAAGAAAUAAAUAAUUUGUCAUUGUCUACCAUAGCUAGUACACCAGAAAAAAGAAUGGAACAAGCACAAGAACGGUUGAAAAUUCUAACAAAAGAAUUCAAAGAUGAAGUAAGGAGUGAAAUUAAAGUUCUUAAAGAAAAACUUGAAAAAAGAGCCAGUGUUUUAGAAGAAAGACUGGAAAAUUUUAAUAAAAAGUUGUGCAUUCUGCAAAACAAAUUAGAAGAGAUAGAACUCCAAGAUGAAGAUAUACAAUCUGAAAUAUUAGAGCAAAGUCAAAUGAAAAAAUUAGAACAUCAACUCAAAGAAGAAUGUUGGGUCUUCUCUUCCUAAGACUCCCUUCUUUCAACUCCAGUCUUCUCAUUUAUACUCAGGCCCAAAUGUCAACAACACCAAAAAUAAAAUAACUGAAAAACUGAAAAA